rnacentral:SRP_RNA from 1 species
GCCGGGUGUGGUGGUGUGCACCUGUAAUCCCAGUUACUUGGGAGGCUGAGGCAGGAGAAUCGCUUGAACCCGGGAGGUGGAGGUUGCAGUGAGCCAAGAUUGUGCCACUGCACUCCAGUCUGGGCAACAGAGCAAGAUUCUGUCUCAA